AAAAAAUACUGAAGGACAACAAAAAGGAACACGCAAAAAAGCGAUUAAAACUGCUUAUAGAGGUACAGGAGAAAUCAAUCAUAAUAAUUUAUUGAUUAGGAAAACAUAUUAAUUUAAAGACAAAAAAGAAGUUAAAGUGUUAAACUAAGAAUCUGUUUUAAUUGAUUAGGAUUCGGAAUGUUUAGUAAAAAAUAAAGAGACCCACACUGAUAGGAGCUUUUUUUUUCUCGAAAAACACAUGUGAUAGGAGUUUAGCACUACUAAUUGCUGUAAUUAAUAUUUGUUAUUAAACUCUUUCUCUUAUUGGUUAGAUUUUAAAAGGGUCAAAUUUAGUGUCAGCAUCAUAUAUCUAUAAAAAAAACUGACAAAUCAGAUAACAAUAUGACCUAAUCUAAAAUCUGAGGGGCGUCAGCUGACUUCUCUCGUCCCCCCUUAGCUACGCCACUGGUUUUUGGCUCUUAAAAAAUACAGGAAAGAUUGUUCUUGGGGUUGAGAGCAUCAUUGUGCUCUCGAUCUAUAGUUUUCCAACGAUUCAAUUAGUGAGAUAGGAUAUUUGGAGAAGUUCUACGGUAUCUUUUUGUACUUGAUACACUCAUUUAUAGAUUUGACAACAAAUUUAUUUUGUACAUGAUAACUUUUUUUGUACGUGCCCUCUCGCCGUCAUCGGACAAGCGCGCCUUGCCGCCCCCAUGUGGGUCUCGAACAAGUCGGAUAUUCUGAUCAAAGUCUUGGAUCGCAUUAUGGAGUUUUCGACGGUGCUUUGCAGAGCGAGGAAAGGUAAAGAUGUGGCGGCGGUUGCACCUUGGUUGGUUCAUUGUUGACAUGACCGGUGGACGGGCUUGGCGGUGCGACUUCGGAGGCUGUUGGGUGGUGAAGGGCAGUGGCGGUGGGGCUUUGCUUUGAUUAGAAGGUUUCAAUCUGGGUUAGAUCUCUUGGAUCUGAUCUUGAGCGAAACUUCUGGACAUCAGAGGUGCUAAUCCAUGGUGUGACAUGGUGGCAGGAAGAGUGGGAGUGGCGGUCCGGCAAGGCAGCGAAGGAUUUGGCCGGAGUUGGGAUCUGUCGGCGGUGGCCGGAGUCAAGAUCAACUAGGCUUGGCUGGUAACAUGUACUUUUCUUGAUUCGUGUGUGAUGACAUGUGUCACAUCCCGGUUUUUAAGUUAAUUUGCGAGUAUUUACUUUUAUGUUACUUUGACCUUUUACCGUUUUGAGUAACCGUUUUCUAUUCAAGGACCCUAGAGUUGAUUUUUUGUAGGAAAAUUAUUUUGGGAAAAUUUCUUUAAGGAGGUCGUAGAGGACGUUAAUACGAAUUCGUAGACAUGCUAUACGUUAAAAUCGGGGUUCGUAUAUAAAAGUUAUGGUGUAAAAUGUAAAGUUACUAUUUCGGGAAUGUAUGUAUAAAAAGGUCUGAAGGUAAGUCAAAAGUAGAAUAAGAAAGUUACCUUUUUCCUCCUCCCUCCUCUCCCGCGCACAUCUCGGCCCGGCUACUUUGCCGUCUUUGUUCGCCGUCGUUCGACGGAGUUAGGCCGCCAUACCGGUCGGGAUUUGAAGCUUGGCUCAUCCUCUGUCAAUUUGGGUAGCUGGCCGGUGGUGUCACGUCGCCGUGAAGGAGAAAUCAAGCCAGAAAGCCACAGCUGUGCGCGGAGGUAUUUUCACCGGAAACUCCCUUUUUCGGCCACCAAAGCCGGAGCUGUUGGUCUCAUUUGGAAGCUCUCCUCUUGUGCAGGAAACCAUUAAAAGGAUUCGACCUAGCUCGAGCUAGGUAAGGAUAAUCGAAGGUUUGAAAUUUUAGGGUUUUAAGUUAGGGAUUUUUAAUGUUUGGCUUCGAUUACCCUAGUUAGGCUUGAAAUUAGAUUUUGUGUUAGUUAUGAAAGUUGUUUAGAAUGUUGAGAGGAUGAUUGUGCUAAAACUUGGUAUGCAUCGGAGGUGGCCGGAGUAGUGGCCGGCCAGUCGCCUCUUUUGGGUUGUUUUUCAAGCUGAUUAGGUAGUGUAUGAUGAGAGGAGUCCAAUGGUCUGAAGUUUGUAAUUUUGGAGAAAUUUUGGUUAGGUUUGGAAUUUUACGGAGAUUGGAGAUAUUGGCGGUUGAUAGAAUAGAUCCAACCAUUGGAUUUUCUUGAUUAUGGUCGUAAAGUAUUAGAACCAAUGAAGUGAGGUUGUAAUUGAAGUUGGUGAAAAUCUAAUUAGCUUAACCCUAGCUUGAUUAGUGGGUUAUGUGGAAUGAUUUCGGUGCUUAAGUUAAAGCAUUUAUUUUUCCUAAAUUGAAGAGUGGUUCUAAACAUAUUUAUUGUGUCAAGAUACGAGGGGACCUCGCUUGAGUGGCGAUUUGGUUAUCGGCAGGCUUAUGCCUAAAUUUGUGAGUGGACAUUUUGGUUUUAAAUAAAUAUACAUGCAAUAUUUUAUAAUUUAUUAUUUUAUUUUCCGAGCUUAUAUUAUAAUUUCGGCUUAUGAGAUGAUUUUAGAAAAUUAUUUGAGUUUGAAGCAUUGAUUAUUGGUUGGUCAUGAUUUAUGGAUUUAAGCUCAAAUUAUUAAUUUGGCAUUUGAGUUUGGAUAUUCUUUAUAAAUUCCGGAUUUCAUUAUGAUUGUUUUAUUCGUGGACUUUGAGAUUUAUAAAAGAUUUCCGAAAAUAGGAUUUUCGGUUGUUCGCUAUUUAUAAUUUUCGCAUUUAUUUGUGGAAUAUCGAUCUUGACCUUGAGAAUAUUUUAGCGAGUAUUUUGGAUUGAGAUAUUAUUUACGAGUUUUACUUGUUAAUUAACUCUCGCUUAUAUUAUGGUUUUGAGAAUAAUUUGACGUGUGAGACACGUCAUUUAGUUUAUUAUAAUUUUUUAUGAUGAUUUUCAAGUACGAUUGGCAACCGUACCAUUCGUAUGAUCUUGGGGAAGUUUAAUGGAUUUAAAGUGAUUUUGUAUAUUUUUAGUCAUCAUAAUAUAGGGUCGCUUAUAUUUCAUUACUAAGCUUUUAUUAGCGGUCCUCACCAUAGGUGAGUCAAGGGCUUAGCGUGGGACGCUACUAUAGCCUGGGAGGCACCGAUUAGAUAUUAUUAUUUAUUGCUAGCUAACCUUAUUUGUCACAUCUCGACCCUUAAAUUUUUACCUUAUUUACUAGCUUGAUUAUAAUAAGAAUUUUACCGUCUCCGUCAUUGAGUUAAUAGUUUAAUUGGUCCCUAGAGGGGUUUCGAGGACGAUUGUGUGAGGAGGAUUAUUCGUAGGAGGAAAUUACGAUGGCGGUAAAAAUGGUAAAUUUUAGCUAGUAAAAGGUAAUUCUUAUUCGGGUAUUAUUUUUUCGGGGUGUUUUAUUUUUAGAAUUGGGUAGUAUAUAGGUGAUGGACCGGGUUGGUCAGGCCCAAACUCAGCCCUCACUUUUCUUUUUCCCUUUCUCUCCCUCCCGGUUUCCACUCCCGAGCUCUCUCUCUUCUUCCGCCGGAAACCUCCGCUCGCCGCUGUCGUCCGGCCAAGCAGGGAUGCCGCACCACUCCAGCACGGUCUGUCGUCCUCCCCGCCGCCUUCCUGGGCUGGUGAGCGGCGCUGCAGCCCCGCCGAUCGGAGGAAAUCCUCCUUGGACGCCGUUUGUCUUCUCGCCGGAGCUCCCUCCUCCGGCCACCAAAACUGAUGAUCCUUGGCUCGUUAUGUAGCCCUCCUCCCGUGCAGCAACUCCUCCAAAUGACUCACUCCCUCUUGAGCUAGGUAAGGAGAGAAAUUUGAGGUGGAAGUUUUAUAGCGUUUUUGAGGUUUCUGUUCGAUUGGCAUAGCUAGGCUUGGAUUUUGGGUUUGUGCUAGUUAGGAAAGUUGUAGAGCAUGAUGAGAGGAAGAUGCUGUCAAAAUUUCAUAGGUUUUGGAGGUCGCCGGAAUUGGCCUCCGGCCGCCGCUGCCGGCGGAGCCGCCGCCGGUUGGGAGAUUUUUAAUGUUGUUAAAUUUGGAAUAUUAAGGGGAGUUUAUUGAAGUGAGUUAUGGAAUUUUUGGAUGAGUUUUGGAUAGGUUUAUGAAUUUCCGAAGUGUGGUAUUUUUGGCGGUUAAUUAAUGUAGAAUCCGGCCGUAGGAUUUAAGUCGUAUUUUUGGGGAGGUUGUAAUUACGGCUGCCGAGUAUGAUAUUUAAGUUUGGAUCGUUUCGAUUUAAGAAUAUCGAAGUUAGGCAAUGAUGAGCGUAUUUAUGGCUCUUGGGUAAUUUUGCCUAUUUUGACUAAAUCUUGGAUUAUUAGUUGGGAAAUUAAUAUUAUUUUUGGAUCAGGACAUGAGGAGGCUCGAGCAGAUGAGGCCCCAGAUCGACGUCAGGCUUAGGCCUAAUUUGUGAGUGGACGUUUAUUUUAAAUAAAUGCAUGCUAUAGUUCAUGGUUGAACAAUAAAUGUUGCGGAAUAUUUUGACAUCAUUUUAAUUUGACGAUUUUUAUUUCUCUUGGAGAGUUACCGAAAAUGGAAUUUUCGGUGGAUAUAAAUAUGUAUUUAUGAGGAGAGUAUGUAUAUAAAUGCAAGCUAGCCAUAUGUGUCUGUCCACCUUAAUGGUGUAGCAUAUAGCCGCAUCAUGGUGUGACGUGAGCGUUGGACGUGAGCGUAGUAGCCCUAUUUGAGUGUUUAAUUCAUAUAGGGGGUAUGGACACAAAAUUAUACACCUGUCUGUCCACCUUAAUGGCGUAGUGUAGCACCGCAUUAAGACGUGACGUGAGCGUUGGACGCGAGCGUAGUAGCCGUAUAUAGACCCAUGAAUUUAUAUAGGGAGUACGGACGAGUGUAAAUACAUACAUAUAUUAUAGAGUCUGAGAGGCUCGAUAUUUUAUGAGAUAAAAGUUUUAUCGCUUGCGGCAUGCAUUCGAUUUUCCUUAGAAAUUAAUUUGGGGAAACAUAAAUAUUUUAUUUAUUAUUUUAUUUUUGUCCACUCACUCUAACGUUAUUAAAUGUUUUUCCCCUGGACCCUUCGUUUUAAAAUGCCCAGUCUGCAGAGUUCAGGUUGGAUCUAGUAGGAGGCGAGGCAUAGUCACCCGCAUUUCUGCCAGUUUUCAUCAGUAGGUUACCUGGUCAACCUACUCGUGUUUUCUUGCUUCCGCUAGAGUCUAGUAGCUCUGGAUACUUUAGGAUUGUUGUAUAUUAUUUCGGUAGUGUGCUCGGCCUGUUGGUUUGAUGUUUAGAAUCUCUGAAGGAUAAUAUUUGCCUUUAUUAGCUAGAUAUUUAUGUGACGUUUGGACGUGUUAAAAUUUUUGAGUUAGGGUUGUCCAUGUUCAAGGGAGGUUUUACCAAUCUUUUCGGUAAAAUUUUCCUUGGAGGUGGUCCCCGCACGACUUACUCCGGGUUUUAGGGUGAAAUUUGGGGCGGGUUGUGUCAUUAUUAGUGGUCCUCACCAUAGGUAAAUCGAGUGCUUAGGGUGGGACGCUACUAUAGCCUGGGAGGCAUCGACCCGAGCUUUGGAGGAUCCUCUUACAUGGUGAUGGCUCUUCCCCUUAUUUUAUUUUUCUCAGUUAUGUACUUGAUUAACCAGCGGGGCUGGUUUGUCUAUUUUUAUGGAAUUAUGGAUUUAAAGUUAUUUGGAUUAUCAAGUUGUGUGCUGUUAAGUUUUAAACUUGAAACGUGAAAAAAUAUAUAAAUUAUCUAUUGUUAAAUUAUUUAAUUUAUUUUUGUAAACUCACUCUAACGUUUUUAAAUUACUUUCCCCUAGGCCCUUUGAUUUUAAAUGCUCAGUUUGCAGGCUAAGUUUAAUUGAGGUCGAGCGUACAUGGAGUCGAGGCAUAGUGAGAGACCGUUUCCGCUUAAUCUUUAUUCAUUGUUAUUCUUUCAUUAUUAGAUAUGCUCUGUAACCAGUUAGUGCUUUAAUGUUGUCUUUGUUGUUGGUUGUGGAAUUCUAGAAGUUUAGUAUUUGAUAUUUUGGGAGAUGUGAUGAACUUGAGGAGCAGGAAGGCUCCAGGUGUUAAGGCUGGUUUGUUUGGUAAUAGAAGUGUAAGUUGGAUUUUUCAGGUAAAGGUUGUCCAUUUUCAAGGUAGAUUAUGCAGAAUUUUCGGUAAAUUUUCCUUGGAGGUGGACCCCGCAGGAUUUACCUCAGGUUUCAGGGUGAAAUUCGGGGUGGGUCCUGACAGUUGGUAUCAUAGCUUAGGUUAUCCGAUUCUUAUCACUACCUCAUAUACUUGGUGAUACUUAGUGUCUAUAGAGUGAUGGUCCGACCGCGGCAGAUCCAUUAGCAUUAUAUGCAUCAGAUGUUAUGUGUUUAUUAGGUAUGUGAGGUAGUUGUUCUUGUCUUAUUUAUGGACAGUAUUGUGCCAUAAAUGUCUACAUCUUCAGGACUAUGCCUCCGUACGCCGACCUCAAAGGGUAUCUUGGUUAUUUUCCGAGUAAUGGAAAGGUAAGUAAUUUGCACAUUUCAUUUGUGCUGUAUUGUGGUUGCUAGACUUUGAGUUGAGUUACGAGUUGGGAAGUGACAUGUAUUUGUAGUGUACUAUUCCUUAUUUAAUGAAUUGUUGGCUUAUAUUUGAGUGGCAAGUUGAGUCUUUUUGUGGGCAUUAAUGAUAUAGAGGACAUGCUUGUGAACGAAGGAUUGGGCAAUUGAUAGGAGCAUAAAAUGUGAUGAUUUUAUAGUUUAACCUUUGCAUUUAACUUAGCUAUUUUCCUUUAAAAAGAUCGUUUUAACUUUGUUAUUUUCUUAGGUACUACGUGGAGCAAGAUAAUGCAAAUAUGUGUUCAAGUGAUGCAAGCAAGGCUUCGAAUACGAAGUAGAGAUGUCAAGGAUGGAGUUUGAUCAUUCACAUGGUCAAAAAUAUCAAGGAAAGGCAAUGAAACCACUUCACCAAAACAGAAGCUGCAAACACAAAAAGCUGAAAACUGGUUUCUGCUUAUUUUCUCCGGUUUUCAAGGCCUAUUUCCAUGAGGUUCCGAGAAUGGUUUCACCAAGACGACCACCCAGAUUUGUAGAGGUGCGUUUGUAGAUCAAUUUAGAGUCAAGAAUCAUCCAAAUCGGUGAUGGCAUCUAGGAGUUAUGAAGCGUCGAAGUUGGACAGAAAAUCAGCAGUUCCGGGAAAGCUGUGCAGCAAUCAAGUUCGAGGCAGUGUUUGGGUUGGAUUUGGAGAAGCUUUCUUGGGGGGUUUUUACACGAUUUCAAAGAGUGAUAUCAUUAAUAUAAUUUUCCCAAAAGCCAAGCCCAGAUUAUAUGUGGAAGACAUUCAAAAGAUAGCCCAAACAUUGAUCCUAGUCAAAAAAGGAAACAUAGUCUGAAAAGGAAGCUUUGAAGACUUGGAGACUACUUAAGGCAGAACCCUAACACCAGAACGACGCUAAGCUGUCAUACUAAAGGAGAAGAAGUAAAGUUCAGAGCCCAUAAGAGAUUGAUCUCUCGACUCAGAAAAUCAAUUUUUUCCCCUGCUUUCAUCUUUCGUAUUUUCUUU
rnacentral:lncRNA from 1 species